CCAACGGCAUAGCUGGGUAGCUAUGUGUGGACGGGAUAAGUGCUGAAAGCAUCUAAGCAUGAAGCCCCCCUCAAGAUGAGAUUUCCCAACUUCGGUUAUAAGAUCCCUCAAAGAUGAUGAGGUUAAUAGGUUCGAGGUGGAAGCAUGGUGACAUGUGGAGCUGACGAAUACUAAUCGAUCGAAGACUUAAUCAA
rnacentral:rRNA from 1 species